rnacentral:lncRNA from 1 species
AAAAAAAAAAAAAAAACAAAACAAAAAAAGAAGCUCAUUAAGUAAAAAACCCACAAAGGGCGGCUUAAGCAAAAGUUAGAGCACAUAAUAAAAGCAUAAUAAAAAAGGAGAAAAAAGAAAAAAGGAAAUAAAACAAAAUAAAAAUGCAUUUACCUGUAGUAGAAGUGGGCUCACCAUCGGACCGAGUACCGAGCGAGAGUCCCGAGCAUGUUCUCCCAGCCAAGUAAAUGUCUUAGCCAGAAUAAGUGGAAAUGGCAUGUGUCACCUAGCCAUUUGCUCAACUAUGGCACUAGUCGAAGGUUGCCAUAGCCAUCAAUACCACUAAGAAGCAAAUACUGGCUCAAAAUGCAUAAAUAGACAAGUGGAGGCCAGUACGGGCUAGUGCUUGAACAACAGGACUGAGACAUGACAGAAUACUUCUAUAUGGCUUAAGAAAACACGUUCUGUGAUGCAUGGAGAAAACACAAAAUAACACAAAUAUAUACAAACAAGGGGAUAGGACUUAGGAAAUGCAUAACCUCCACCCUUAUAUCUCCCACAUAUGAUUUAUGGCUGAAAUAUGAAAAAGUGGUUGGAUCUAUAAACCAUCAUGGGGUUUUGGACCAACGUCUCUCGCAUUUAUUGAAUGAAUGACACAUCAUUAUUUUAUUACGGUAACCCUAAGGGAAGGAACUAGGGUCAUUACAUGAGCUUUAGUCGAGUUAAACAAGUCUUGGGUUCCAUAAGUGAGAAUUGGUUGUUUCCUCCCAUUUACCUUUAGGUCUAAGCCAAUGGUGAUAACGGAUUGUGUGAAUUCUUUUAAUAUACCAAAAGGUACAAGGCUUAUGGGUAGUGUCUAUUAGUAGCGGAUCCCAACAAUAGAGUAGAAUGAAAGGACCACAUCCCCCAAUAUCACCUUUAGGGUUUUAGGUAGAAAAGAGAUUAAGAAGAGAAUUAUGCAUGAAUGCCAGAAAAUGUAAACUCAAUUUUAAGUUAAUAAUGUUAUCAACAAGUGUGAAUAAUAGGACAACAUCGGAGUCAACUCCUUACAAGAACCCAAAAUCAAAAAGCCAGAGAUUCUAGGUUUAAUCUCUAGUAGAGUCGCUAAAUUGAGGAUGUAAUUUGAGUUUUUGAUGAUUUGAAAGCUAAAGACGAGCUUGGUUCAUUUUAUCUUAUUAAAUUGGUUUUCAUUUUUAGACCCAUUUAUUGAUCCUCAGAAAGGCGACCCUUUUUGAAAAUUGGGUUUUUGUAAAACAGCUCUUACUUUGGUAAGAGAUUUUAUUUAGAGUUGCCACCCUCUUUAAAGAAAACAUCACGAAUUGAUUAUUUCUUUGGAAAUAAUUAACUCAGUUUUAACCAUAGACUGAGUAAGCGAGUUAGGCAUGAUCUCGAGAAGGUGUUAGAUACUCGAACUGCCUGAUUAAAAACCGACAUUCUUUAUUAUCCAUUCAUUCACAAUUUUGAUAAUAUUAUUAACUUUAACUGAGGUGUAAAAUAUUUUUCUGCAAUUUUUGAAAACAUGGCAAUCAAGCAUAUUAAUAACCAACCAAAAUAUAUUAACCAAAUAAAGAAAGGGAGGGAGGAGAAAAGAAUACAACUCACCACCUCAUUAUACAAUCUACCAUUUAACCUAUUAAAAUUUCUCAACCCAUUAAUUAUUACAAAUAAGUAAUUUGAUAGGACCCAUUAAGGUCCUUUACAUAAUGCUCAUUAAUAAAAAUGCAAUAAAUGAAAGGACCAAACAAGCAUAUAAAGUCAACAAUUAGCAAACACAUCAAUGCACAACAACAAUAGUUCAAUAGUUCAUACAAUCCACAACAACAAUCAAUAGUUAUCAACACAAAUUCAUUUAAAUGUUAGAAGAUUAAGCAAUCAAAUCAAAAGUUAGUGUAAUAUCCGAAUUUUUUUUGAAAACUGAAAGAGUUCAUAAAAUAUUUUUUAUUAUGAAAUAUUUUCCUAAUUUAAUGCGAUUUUACGUCUUAAGCAUUGACUAUUGGGCUAUGUCAAAUAGUGCAUAUUAAUAAUUAGUAAUAUAUUUGAUUAUUAAGAAUACAAAUUUAUAAUGUUGAUAACAUUUUGCUUAUGUUUAUAUAUAUAUAUAUAUAUAUAUGAAUGGUCAAAAUAAGAAUUUAUAAAGACUAUUAGAAUUAUUUAACAAUUUCUAAUAUUCAUUGUCAAAGUAUAAAUCUAUAAUAAUAAUUUAUCUUUACGUUAUAUGUAAAAUAUGUACAUACAAGUGAUUUAAAGGAAUGAAAAGAAGAAAUGAAAUAAGAGAAAGGAACAAAGAAUAAAAAAAUAAAAAAAUAAAAAAAAAAAAAAAAAAGGAAGAAAGAGAAGGCAAACCCUCUCUCGCUCUCGCUCUCUCCCCGACAACCUCUUCUGUUCCGAUUUUCGGUCUCCGGCAUCCGAUUCCGACAGAGGGAGCACAUCAUAUUCAAGAGCUUAACGAGAUGAAUGAUCUGGCAGCUUUGGUUCGCGAGAUAAGGGUACAGAUCGAGAGGAAACUUGAUCUAUAGGAAUCGGCACCCCUGUGAUUCCAUUUUCAGGUGAACCAUGCCGUUUUUGGCGACUCUAAGCCAUGAGACAGGUGCGGCUGGCAUCUUCUCCUCCCCUUCUUUUGUUUUACGACUUCAAUCUUGAGUGUUGUGCCCUGAAUCGAAAAAGCCCCAAAGAGGGGCGGCUGACCGAAUGUUUUGGGUCGAUUUCUGGCCAAAUGAGACACAUCCAGCUCAAAUCGAUAAUAUAUUCAGGCUCACAAAAUUUUGAGCGUUUUGGUGUAAACCUCGUGAAUUUUUGGCAAAAACGUGACUUCUCGGCCACAGUGCACGGCAGCAGUCCAGUCACCAGCCGGCAAGUCUCCGGCGUUCGGCAAGACCUCAGGAGUACAAUCACCCUCUCCUCGUGCUAGUUCUGAAUCCGAACUCCGAAUCGCAAUUGGUAUACUUUAAAGUUUAAUUUAAUAAUUUCAGUGUAAAUCGUAAAUUGAAAAUUUAUUAGUAUCGAUUAAAAUAACUAAGUUAGUGGUGUGAAAUUAAUGGAGUAAUUAAUUUCUAGUGAUGAAAAGAAAUUAACAGAUUAUAAAUUAUCGAUUGAAGAUGGCAAGAAUUUGUAAAAUGUGUGAAAUUGAAACUAAAGACAAUUAGGUGUAUCAAUGAGUUAAUCAAAAACAGAAAGAAAUGUUGAAAAUGUGGUUUGAGAAAUAUUGAGAAUGGCGGAUGGAAAAUUCUUGUGAAGUACCCGGAGGAUGGACUGUGUUAUUAUUGUGAUAUGUGAAAUUCAGACAGAUCAAAUUAUAAAUAAAAUGCUGUCUGAUUUUUUGACUAAAAGAAAGGUUUAUUCAAGAAUUAAAUUUAUUGUAUAAAAUAAAAAUUGCGUUAUUAAGGAAGGAAAUAAAUUAAUGAAAGAGUAAGACACUUAAAUAAAAUGCAAAAUUUGUAUUUUUAUUUGAUUAAAUUUAAUAAAGUAUUUGAAAAUGGAAUUUUAAGUGAUAUUUUAAGAAAAAGCAAGGUAAAGAGAUCAAGGAUUUUUAUUGUAAAACCUUGUUA